AGCCCUGGAAACGGGGUCUAAUACCGGAUACGACACACGACCGCAUGGUCUGUGUGUGGAAAGCUCCGGCGGUGAAGGAUGAGCCCGCGGCCUAUCAGCUUGUUGGUGGGGUGAUGGCCUACCAAGGCGACGACGGGUAGCCGGCCUGAGAGGGCGACCGGCCACACUGGGACUGAGACACGGCCCAGACUCCUACGGGAGGCAGCAGUGGGGAAUAUUGCACAAUGGGCGAAAGCCUGAUGCAGCGACGCCGCGUGAGGGAUGACGGCCUUCGGGUUGUAAACCUCUUUCAGCAGGGAAGAAGCGAAAGUGACGGUACCUGCAGAAGAAGCGCCGGCUAACUACGUGCCAGCAGCCGCGGUAAUACGUAGGGCGCAAGCGUUGUCCGGAAUUAUUGGGCGUAAAGAGCUCGUAGGCGGCUUGUCACGUCGGAUGUGAAAGCCCGGGGCUUAACCCCGGGUCUGCAUUCGAUACGGGCAGGCUAGAGUUCGGUAGGGGAGAUCGGAAUUCCUGGUGUAGCGGUGAAAUGCGCAGAUAUCAGGAGGAACACCGGUGGCGAAGGCGGAUCUCUGGGCCGAUACUGACGCUGAGGAGCGAAAGCGUGGGGAGCGAACAGGAUUAGAUACCCUGGUAGUCCACGCCGUAAACGUUGGGAACUAGGUGUGGGCGACAUUCCACGUCGUCCGUGCCGCAGCUAACGCAUUAAGUUCCCCGCCUGGGGAGUACGGCCGCAAGGCUAAAACUCA
rnacentral:rRNA from 1 species